AACAGAGAGAGAACAUUUGUAAGACAAACAAAUAUCGAGAGAAAGAGAGGUAACUCAAUAAACAACGAUUCCAUUAAAUUUUCUGAAGAAACUCGGUAGAUUUCCGCUACCAAAUGAUAUUCCUGAAUCGUUUCGGUCGGAUCGCGAGCGGAUUCUUGCGACUCGAUCGCCACAAAAGUGAUUAGAAAGGUCUCUCGCGCUAUUCGAUAUCUUUAUUAAAUGCGUAUCCCUGCUGACGUAAGUCGGCGAGUCGCGCGACCAUGCGGGAUUAGCAAGUCGGUCAAGAUUUGCGCAGCCGUGACAUUUCUUCGGGUACAACUUUGCCGGGCGAUAGCGGCGGCCAGCGAUCCGGGAAGAAAAAUCGCACGCCCGCGGGAGCCGGUGAAAGUCGAGCAAAGGCCGCGUUUUGCAUGUAUAAUAUACGUGUAUAUUGCGAGCGAAUCGCGCAUGAUCGCGCGACACCGCUCAGAAUUUCGCAACUCGACAGGGAUCGCGAUCCGUUGCUGUUAACCUUCACGGAAGACCUAUCACCGUCAGAGGCUUGACCUUAAACCUAGCAGGACCGAGGCCUAAUCUGUGACUUAGCGAAUAGUCAUCGAGUCUCAGCAUCGAGUCGGUCGGCGUACAAAUAUAGUCUUUGCUUCUUUAUUUCACGUCAUAUCGCCUAAGCGGACGCAAGGGUGCAUUUCGUACCUCAUCCCCGAGCGCAAGCUGGCAAGACAAUUAUGCCGGUUCCGGAGCGAGGUUUCCAAUGACGUGUCAUCGCACAUGCAGGAUGCUAAUGGAAGGGUCAGCGGCGUAGCAAGACUUUCUCCGGCGUUACAUUUACGAAACGUAUUUCUGCAAAAUAAUUGUGCGCGUCGUUCGCGCCUUGCCGCAUUGCGUUACAUAAGCACCUCGCUCAAAAGUACAAAUUUCUCACACUAGAAACCUGCCUGCCUCGCCUUCAGACCCGUCCGAAGUCUUUCCGGGCCGUAGUGACGUAAUUAGCUGCUGCCAAUGACCACGUAAUUGCGAGGAACGCCAUCCGCGUGGCUGGAUGCUCGAACAGGCGUAUCAUUGUUGCUCGUGCAGAAGAAACUCACGGAUCAACAGACACCGAAAUCAAUUUAUUUUAUUGUACAUAACAGGUGUCACCGUUCGUUUGCGAUGAGAGCCGUACUAUCGCAUGACGCGCUAUUACUCAUCGUCAGGUGACGCACACUCUUACGCUAGUCUUUACGUUCUGAUAGAUAAACGCUUCUUGCGAGUAAUGCGACUCGUUCGAGCAUAAAAAGUUGCUUUCGGUGGGAAACGGUACUCCUGCGGCGUUUCAGCCAAGAUCUUCAGGAGCAUCGGAGAUUUCGCUCUGAAACGACACUGGAGCGAGAAGAUGAGACGCGUCAAUCUCGCCGCGCGGUAAUCACCCGAGCAGCAACGUGAAAUGAAAAUACCCGCCCAUAGAGUUCUUGUGCAAUCAGAGACUCAAGCCUGAUGGCCAAAGGCAUCCAGAGGAUUUAAGUCGAGUCGAUUCGAUUCGACUGGAGCGUUCGUGCUUGGGAAACGACACUGCCGAUCGGUCGCGCUUCGGGCACUCGCGAAAUCGCUAUUCCGCGCUCGCGAGUGCUUCCAGUGAUCGCUCUGCGCGGCCACAGUCCACUUAUGGUAUACUCCUAGACGCGAAACGAUGACUCAUGGCAUUAAUCCGGAUCGAAGAGAUCCGUCUGGAGUGCCAGAGACUCGUGAGACUCGCCAAUUCGCCAAGCGCGCUCUCCGACAUUGCGCAAGAACGAGAUCGCAAGCCGAGUACACUCGACGUGGGACAAUGCGCUGCAUCCCAAGGCAGGCAGAAUGCAGCGGGGAAAGAAAAAAGCGUCGGCGACGGCGGCUUGGCGUUGCUUGCUGAUGAUAAGAGGCGGAGCGAGUGACUGAGCGAGUGCAAGAGAAAGGAGGCACGAGCUAGGGGGUGACGGACGACGAAGAAAGGAGGGCCCUGUUCCCUUCGCCGCGGCAAUCGAUAAGCGCAAUUAAGAACCGUCUUUGAAAUAAACGAAACAGCGAGAAUGAGGGUUCCCCGCUAAUGAUGGGCGGAGGAGGAGGAGGAGGACAAGGAGAGCUCGUUUUGCUUCUCGAGCAUCGCCAGCGUUUCGUGCACCGUUCACUUUGCUCGACCGCUGGGCGAACCUAGACUCCCUAGUAACUCUCGUCUGCAAAACGACAACUCUUCCCGGUACGAGUAGAACAAUAAGAGGCAAAGGUCGCUUAUUGC